CCUACGGGUGGCAGCAGUCGAGAAUCAUUCACAAUGGGGGAAACCCUGAUGGUGCGACGCCGCGUGGGGGAAUGAAGGUCUUCGGAUUGUAAACCCCUGUCAUGUGGGAGCAAAUUAAAAAGAUAGUACCACAAGAGGAAGAGACGGCUAACUCUGUGCAAGCAGCCGCGGUAAUACAGAGGUCUCAAGCGGUGUUCGGAAUCACGGGGCGUAAAGGGUGCGUAGGCUGUUUCGUAAGUCGUGUGUGAAAGGCGCGGGCUCAACCCGCGGACGGCACAUGAUACUGCGAGACUAGAGUAAUGGAGGGGGAACCGGAAUGCUCGGUGUAGCAGUGAAAUGCGUAGAUAUCGAGAGGAACACUCGUGGCGAAGGCGGGUUCCUGGACAUUAACUGACGCUGAGGCACGAAGGCCAGGGGAGCGAAAGGGAUUAGAUACCCCAGUAGUC
rnacentral:rRNA from 1 species